rnacentral:rRNA from 1 species
UGCCAGACUCCUACGGGAGGCAGCAGUAGGGAAUAUUGCUCAAUGGGGGAAACCCUGAAGCAGCAACGCCGCGUGAAGGAAGAAGGCUUUCGGGUUGUAAACUUCUUUUCUCAGGGACGAAGCAAGUGACGGUACCUGAGGAAUAAGCCACGGCUAACUACGUGCCAGCAGCCGCGGUAAUACGUAGGUGGCAAGCGUUAUCCGGAUUUACUGGGUGUAAAGGGCGUGUAGGCGGGGACGCAAGUCAGAUGUGAAAACCAUGGGCUCAACCUGUGGCCUGCAUUUGAAACUGUGUUUCUUGAGUACUGGAGAGGCAGACGGAAUUCCUAGUGUAGCGGUGAAAUGCGUAGAUAUUAGGAGGAACACCAGUGGCGAAGGCGGUCUGCUGGACAGCAACUGACGCUGAGGCGCGAAAGCGUGGGGAGCAAACAGGAUUAGAUACCCGCGUAU